rnacentral:rRNA from 1 species
ACGGGUGAGUAAUGCAUCGGGAUCUACCCUGACGUGGGGGAUAACCUCGGGAAACCGGGACUAAUACCGCAUACGUCCUACGGGAGAAAGCGGGGGACCUUUUAGGCCUCGCGCGGCAGGACGAACCGAUGUGCGAUUAGCUAGUUGGCGGGGUAAUGGCCCACCAAGGCGACGAUCGCUAGCUGGUCUGAGAGGAUGAUCAGCCACACUGGGACUGAGACACGGCCCAGACUCCUACGGGAGGCAGCAGUGGGGAAUAUUGGACAAUGGGCGCAAGCCUGAUCCAGCAAUGCCGCGUGUGUGAAGAAGGCCUUCGGGUUGUAAAGCACUUUUAUCAGGAGCGAAAUCUGCAUGCUUAAUACGUGUGCAGUCUGACGGUACCUGAGGAAUAAGCACCGGCUAACUUCGUGCCAGCAGCCGCGGUAAUACGAAGGGUGCAAGCGUUAAUCGGAAUUACUGGGCGUAAAGGGUGCGUAGGCGGUUCGUUAAGUCUGUCGUGAAAUCCCCGGGCUCAACCUGGGAAUGGCGAUGGAUACUGGCGAGCUAGAGUGUGUCAGAGGAUGGUGGAAUUCCCGG